rnacentral:rRNA from 1 species
AUUGAACGCUGGCGGCAGGCCUAACACAUGCAAGUCGAGCGGAUGAAGGGAGCUUGCUCCUGGAUUCAGCGGCGGACGGGUGAGUAAUGCCUAGGAAUCUGCCUGGUAGUGGGGGAUAACGUCCGGAAACGGGCGCUAAUACCGCAUACGUCCUGAGGGAGAAAGUGGGGGAUCUUCGGACCUCACGCUAUCAGAUGAGCCUAGGUCGGAUUAGCUAGUUGGUGGGGUAAAGGCCUACCAAGGCGGCGAUCCGUAACUGGUCUGAGAGGAUGAGCAGUCACACUGGAACUGAGACACGGUCCAGACUCCUACGGGAGGCAGCAGUGGGGAAUAUUGGACAAUGGGCGAAAGCCUGAUCCAGCCAUGCCGCGUGUGUGAAGAAGGUCUUCGGAUUGUAAAGCACUUUAAGUUGGGAGGAAGGGCAGUAAGUUAAUACCUUGCUGUUUUGACGUUACCAACAGAAUAAGCACCGGCUAACUUCGUG